GUGCCAGCUUCAGCAGCACAUAUACUAAAAUUGGAACAAUACAGAGAAAAAUGGCAUGGCCCCUGCCUAAGGAUGACACACAAAUAUGUAAAGCGUUUCAUGUUUUU